rfam:Drosophila ananassae strain TSC#14024-0371.13 Ctg01_18567, whole genome shotgun sequence.
GCUGCCUGAUGCGCUUCUGUAUUAUGACUUGAAAGAUUCGUGCCCAUUUCAUCCGUUGUAAUCUUGGCUGCUUCAUUGAAUAAUAUUUUAGUGUCCGUAAGGCCAACGGAACAUUAAUUGCCAAUAAAUUAGACUACUACCUUUUAUAAAAUUCAAACAGGUAGUUUAGGCAUGGCAUACAAUGUCUAGUUAAUAGACUACAGUGAGGGCUUUAAGAGCAGAUGAGACUUGACAUAGCCGCAUUGACGACGUCUUUAGUAACCUGAUACCU